rnacentral:rRNA from 1 species
UACGUAGGGUCCGAGCGUUGUCCGGAAUUAUUGGGCGUAAAGGGCUCGUAGGCGGUUCGUCACGUCGGGAGUGAAAACUCGGAGCUCAACUCCGAGCCUGCUUCCGAUACGGGCAGACUAGAGGUAGGCAGGGGAGAACGGAAUUCCUGGUGUAGCGGUGAAAUGCGCAGAUAUCAGGAGGAACACCGGUGGCGAAGGCGGUUCUCUGGGCAUUAACUGACGCUGAGGAGCGAAAGCAUGGGGAGCGAACAGG